rnacentral:rRNA from 1 species
AUUGAACGCUGGCGGCAGGCCUAACACAUGCAAGUCGAACGAGUGGCGGAAGGGUGAGUAAUGUCUGGGAAACUGCCUGAUGGCGGGGGAUAACUACUGGAAACGGUAGCUAAUACCGCAUACCAUCGGAUGUGCCCAGAUGGGAUUAGCUAGUAGGUGGGGUAACGGCUCACCUAGGCGACGAUCCCUAGCUGGUAUGAGAGGAUGACCAGCCAAACUGGAACGGAGACACGGGCCAGACGACUACGAGAGGCAGCAGUGGGGAAUAGUGCACGAUGGGCGCAAGCCUGAUGCAGCCAUGCCGCGUGUAUGAAGAAGGCCUUAGGGUUGUAAAGUACUUUCAGCGGGGAGGCGUGACCCGCAGAAGAAGCACCGGCUAACGCAGGGCCAGCAGCGGCGGUAAUUC